CCUACGGGAGGCAGCAGUGAGGAAUAUUGGUCAAUGGGCGUAAGUCUGAACCAGCCAAGCCGCGUGAGGGAUGACGGCUCUAUGGAUUGUAAACCUCUUUUGUACGGGAGUAAAUCGUGGUACGUGUACUAUUUUGUAUGUACCUUAUGAAUAAGGAUCGGCUAACUCCGUGCCAGCAGCCGCGGUAAUACGGAGGAUCCGAGCGUUAUCCGGAUUUAUUGGGUUUAAAGGGUGCGUAGGCGGUCUUGUAAAUCAGCGGUGAAAGUCUGUGGCUCAACCACAGAAUUGCCGUUGAAACUGGCGGGCUUGAGUAUAUUUGAGGCAGGCGGAAUGCGUGGUGUAGCGGUGAAAUGCUUAGAUAUCACGCAGAACACCGAUUGCGAAGGCAGCCUACCAAGCCAUGACUGACGCUGAUGCACGAAAGCGUGGGGAUCAAACAGGAUUAGAUACCCGAGUAGUC
rnacentral:rRNA from 1 species